UCCUACUUGUUAGAUUUUUAGUAUUUUUCUGUUCCACAGCUUGCAUAACUUCGACUCCUUCUUUCUUCUUAACUUCGACUCCUUCUUUCUUCUUUUUGAAUUUUUCUCUCAAUGUGUGUUGAAUUUUGAAGCCCUUUGUUAUUUCUGCGAUUUUCUUUUAAUUUGGCUUCAUGAAGCGAAAAGAGGUUGAAGAAGUAGAUGAUCAAGAAACGCCAAUUGAUAGACUGCCCUUUGAUCGCUUGGCUAAUAAUUUUGCUCUGCUUACUUGUUUCAAUCUCACUUAAUUUACCUAAUUCUUUUCCCUCUACAUUUUCUUCUGAAUCUACCCCUUUGUUUCUGUUUCGUGUUGUGUUUAUUUUGUCAUUUCUUGGCUACUUAUUUGUAGGAUGAGCGCUGUGAGCAAGAAAUGGAGAGAGGGGUGAAAGAAUCCUUAGCUAGAAGAGAAAGUUUGAGUUUUUCUGGUUUCCCGGAUCUAAAUUUUUAAAUAUGUUUGAAUAUCCACCAUAGUUGGGCUUAAAGCUCGGUUUUAUUUUUGAAGACUUCUUGUUUGAUUCGAAGUGGGUGCUCUUAAAUCUUGUUUAUAGUACCUUUUGGAAGAUCAUACUGAAAUUUAAUAGCAUUUGGAGCUGAUUUGAAGUGAGUCAUAUCAUAUUGUAUACCGCUAGAGUGUACAAUAUGAUGUAGGAGUAUAUAGCUAUAUCGCAACAGUAUACUAUUGUAGUUUACAAUAUGCUACAACGGUAUAUUAUAAUAAUCGAAGAAAACACCGUUACCUAACAGUAUACCACUACAGUAUACAAUAUACUAUAGGAGUAUAUUGUUAUACUGCAAUGGUAUACUGUAAUAGUAUAUAAUAUUUUAUUAUAGUAUACCGUAAUAAUAUACAAUGUAAUGUAACAUUAUGUUGUAAUAGUAUACAUAUACUAUAAUAUUAUACUUAUUACCCAUAAAUUCACUUGUCUUUUUUCCUUUUAAUUUACUUUAAGUUUUUACCCAGCGUGAGGGGCAAAUUGAACAUGAAAAAAAAAAUUAUAAUAUGUUAUAUAAUGUAACGGUAUACUCUUACAAUUAGAUCCUUCUAGAAUUUUUAAAAUUUUUUAUUGACAACUGAUAUUAUUUAAGUUUGAUAAUUGAAUUUAAAAAAAUAACUCUUUGCGUGCAAUUGUAUACUAUAUACAGUGGAGAUUGACGGCUCAAUUUUACGGGCAUCAAGGCAUCUCUAGGGCUUCCGAUUAUCGACUCCGAGAAUUCUCAAUGGUCGACUUUGAGAUCGUCGGUCCCAAGACAUUAAGAAUUAUCGGUCUCGGUAGAUCAGGAUAGAGUUCAUAAGGCACGUGCAUAUGACAGGUCAAGUUUAGUGGACUAGCCUAAAAGGCGAAUUAAGGCAUUUAAUGAUUGUACCGGCCCCAUAUCUUUGUAAUUAAUAUAUUUGUACUAUGUUGGGAAUUUUCCUCUUAUAUAAAGGGGGUCCUUGUUAUUUUGUAAACAUCUGUUGCACCAUAUUAAAUAUACUAGAAUAUUCUCUAUGCUCUCUAA
rnacentral:lncRNA from 1 species